GUAAAAUCUCACCAGAGUAACAAUUGGAGGGCAAGUCUGGUGCCAGCAGCCGCGGUAAUUCCAGCUCCAAUAGCGUAUAUUAAACUUGUUGCAGUUAAAAAGCUCGUAGUUGAAUUUCUGCGUCUCCCGGUUGGCCUGAAGGCCUUGCGGGUUUCGCAUAGGGGAUUCCCCGUUUUACUUUGAGAAAAUUAGAGUGUUUCAAGCAGACUUGUGUCUUGAAUACUUGAGCAUGGAAUAAUGGAGUAGGACUUUGGUUCUAUUUUGUUGGUUUGAGAGCCUUAGUAAUGGG
rnacentral:rRNA from 1 species